rnacentral:rRNA from 1 species
GAUGAACGCUGGCGGCGUGCUUAACACAUGCAAGUCGAACGGAAGGGCCCUGCUUUUGUUGGUUGCUCGAGUGGCGAACGGGUGAGUGACACGUGAGUAACCUCCCCUUGACUUUGGGAUAACUUCAGGAAAAAGGGGCUAAUACCGGAUAGGAGCUCCUGCUGCAUGGUGGGGGUUGGAGAGUUUCGGCGGUUGGGGCUGGACUCGCGGCUUAUCAGCUUGUUUGUGGGGUAGUGGCUUACCAAGCCUUUGACGGCUAGCCGGCCUGAGAGGGUGACCGGCCACAUUGGGACUGAGAUACGGCCCAGACGGCUACGGGAGGCAGUAGGGGGGAAUAUUGCACAAUGGGCGGAAGCGUGAUGCAGCAACGCCGCGUGCGGGAUGACGGCCUUCGGGGUGUAAACCGCUUUCGCCUGUGACGAAGCGUGAGUGACGGUAAUGGGUAAAGAAGCACCGGCUAACUACGUG